AUUGAACGCUGGCGGCAUGCCUUACACAUGCAAGUCGAAGCGCGAAAGGGGCAACCCGAGUAGAGCGGCGGACGGGUGAGUAACACAUCGGAACGUGCCCAGUAGUGGGGGACAACCUCGAGAAAUCGAGGCUAAUACCGCAUACGACCCACGGGUGAAAGCGGGGACCGCAAGGCCUCGCGCUAUUGGAGCGGCCGAUGUCCGAUUAGCUAGUUGGCGGGGUAAGAGCCCACCAAGGCGACGAUCGGUAGCUGGUCUGAGAGGACGACCAGCCACACUGGGACUGAGACACGGCCCAGACUCCUACGGGAGGCAGCAGUGGGGAAUUUUGGACAAUGGGGCAACCCUGA
rnacentral:rRNA from 1 species